UGGUAGAGGGAGGACGUGUCGCGCGCCGGUCCGUGCUGUACCUUUUCCCCUCACUUAGCUGGGAGUAAGGGUGAAUCUUGCCAGCCAUUAGUUAACCAUUGCCACGGACCUGUUAAUGGGGUGCAGGUGUUAAUGGCAGUGCAGUGUGAAGGAAUAAUGAUGUAGAAAGGAAGAGAGUAAUGAGUGAUGAGUGAGGAAGAAGAACAGUGAAGAGUGAAACGAACGAAGGAACUCAUUAACGCACUCACUCACUCACUCACUCACUCACUCACUGAUUCAGAACACUACUGUAGAGAUUGGCAGUAAGUGAAUCAGUGUGGAAGGAGGCAAGACAAACUCAACAAUCUACACUCUCCAUUGUCACAGGGAUAAAUGAACAGCUAAAUAUAUGAACCAGUUAUUUAUUCCUUUACCAGUCAGUGCCGUGUGGAAGUGAUUCUUAUAACAGUGUAAGAUUAUUCACAGUGAGUAGAUGAAGCGCUAAUGAACUUGUGUAAAUGCUGACACGACUUAGAAGGAUUGAACACUGAACUUAAUGUGAACAGUGAAUAGAAAAGAUACUCGUAUGAAUAUUGCUUAUAAGACUAAAGGAUUGGAAACUAAGCUCAAAACACUCAUAAUCUCGUACAGUCAUCUCAGCACCUCUUGAAAAUAUUCCUAAUAAGACUAAAGGGAUUGAAAACUGACUUCAAAACACUUGCAAACUCAGAAUCUCUUAAAAAACACUGGUAAACUCGUAUAUUCACCUCAGCACCUCUUGAAAUGACUCCUUAUAUGACUAAAAGGAUUGGAAACUGACCUUGAAACGAACAGUGAAUAGAAAAACAACUUGUAAACUCGUAUACAUUGAAAAUAUUCCUGGUAACACUGGAAGGACCGAAAAUUGACCUUGAUUAAGACAGCCAGUAAUAAAAUACACUUGUAAACUUGUAUGAUCAUCUCAGUAUCUCAUUUGAAAAGUAUUACAAGGCCAUGACGAUUGAAAACUGACCUUAAAACAGACAGUGAAGAAAGAACCACUUGUGAACUUGUGUGACCGUUUCAGAACCCCUUGAAAAGCAAUCCUAAACAGACUAAAGGGAUCGAGAACAGGAAAGUGAUGUGAAAGUUGAAAGUAAACCCAGUCAGUAAUGGUGAUGGUGAAGACGACUUAUGUGGCUGGAAGAGACGAACCAACACUGCUGCCAAAUCUGAACCAAACCUGAACCAACAUUUCACCAAACCUGAAAAAAAUACCACUAUGCCAUUCUAACUCUGAACAGCAUCUGGAAAUCACAUCAACUAUCACACAUGAAGCUGUAGAGGGAACAGGUGUAGAUAGAAACUUACCAAAAUACUAACCCCACUUAAUUAAUCUCACCAUAAAUAGUACAAGAAAAUAAUUGAAGCCAGCGAACAUUUGAAGCUAAAAAGAACACACACAAAUCACACUAAUCUCUAAAUGCUGCAAUAAAAAAUCACUGAAGCAUCUAUGUGAAGCUAAAAGCGGAUCAGAAUCAAGUAUGUGAAGCUUACAAAAACUCACAACACCUAACUUGAAGCACUGAACCACAUACACCACAUCAGCUACACCCCCCCAUAAUGUGACACUUUGAAUAUGAAGGGAGGAGUGUUGCAGUGGGACAGGGAGGUGAUGGCAGUGUCCGGCAGUAAUGAGAUGGCCGAGGCGCGAGAGAGAGUAAGUGUGGGAAGAAGGCGCAGGGAAGACUUCAGCAAAAGGUGAGGCUGAAGGCACGUGCUGUUAGUGGAGGGGUCGCUGUCACGUGGCUGGUCAGAGGGAAACAUAUUACAAAAGGUGUGUUUUUCUGGAAGCCCUGUUGACUUGUGGUGCUUUUUGAAGAUGGUGUUGAGAAGGUAAUCAAAAAAGGGUUCAAGAGGGUUCCUAGUGGUGUUGACUUGUAAAGAUUAGUGGUGUUGAAGUGGUGGUGAAGGUAAAUUUGAAGGGUUUUCUGACUUUUGAGUACCUGAAGACCCCAAUUGAAGAAGAUUAUGUUAUACUGAAAGUGAAUCAGGGAAUUUUAAGGGUUUUUAAAGAGGUGCUAGUUUCUAAGUACCUGAAGCUGUCUAAUUGAUGAAACGGAAAUGAAAUAGAGAAGUUAAUGACAUUCUGAAAGUGAACCAGGGACAUUUUUGAAGGAUUUUUUGAUGUGCUGACUUGUGACGUCCUGAAAUCCUCUAAU